AAUGCACCAACAUUUUUUCAUCAUUACAUUGCCCCAAGUUCGUGAAUGACAUCGUUGUCCCAGAUAUAUUUGAGGAAAUAUUCCCACAUGUGAUCCCAGACCAGGGUAUAGCAACUGAUGCAUUGUUUGAGAAGAAGCGCUCACACGCCCAAUUUUUCUUUACAUGAGGCACAGACCCAUCCUGGCUAGUAUAGUUCCAGAUAUAGACAUUAGAAUCCUCACUUGCUGAAAUAAUGUGCGUCCCAUCUGGUGUAAAAGAUGCAGAUAUUUGACUUCCUGCAUUAUGGAUCCCUCGAUAUUUGCAUAUCACAUCAACCCCAUUGAGGAUACGGACUUGUGAAUCAGCAGAAGUAACCAUUAAUCUGGUUGGAUCACUGGGGGAAAACUGAAAGCCAGUUAUCCUCUUGAAUGAUGACUUCUUCUUACCCUGUAAGCAUACUUGUGUACACAGCUGCAGACGAUUAUCAGUCGCAUCAUAAAAUCGACAAUUGCCAGUCAUGGAGCCAACAACUAUACCCUUUCCAUCAGAUCGAUAACAAACAGCUGUAACAAUUUCUGUAACAUCAGUCCAGUCAAUAACUUGACAACCAGGAAUUGCCCAGAUGCGUACUUUCCCAUCAAUGGAACCACUGAUGAAUGAAUCAUCAUCCAUGGGAUUAAACUGGACACAUGUAACAUAGUUAUUGUGGGAAAAGACUUCCAGGCAUUGAUUACAGCCCAAUUUCCACAACCGAACAGUCUUAUCAGUAGAAGAUGACAGGAGAUACUUAUUCUUUGACCAUGAAAGGU
rnacentral:misc_RNA from 1 species